GGCAGUGUGGCCUAGUUGAUAGAGCAUGGGCCUGGGAGUCAGAAGGUCAUGGGUUCUAAUCCCAUCCCUGCCA
rnacentral:tRNA from 1 species